AUUGAACGCUGGCGGCAUGCCUUACACAUGCAAGUCGAACGGCAGCAUGGGUGCUUGCACCUGAUGGCGAGUGGCGAACGGGUGAGUAAUGCAUCGGAACGUACCCGGCAGUGGGGGAUAACGUAGCGAAAGUUACGCUAAUACCGCAUAUUCUGUGAGCAGGAAAGUGGGGGAUCGCAAGACCUCGCGCUUCCGGAGCGGCCGAUGUCGGAUUAGCUAGUUGGCGGGGUAAAGGCCCACCAAGGCAACGAUCCGUAGCGGGUCUGAGAGGAUGAUCCGCCACACUGGAACUGAGACACGGUCCAGACUCCUACGGGAGGCAGCAGUGGGGAAUUUUGGACAAUGGGGGCAACCCUGAUCCAGCCAUGCCGCGUGAGUGAAGAAGGCCUUCGGGUUGUAAAGCUCUUUCGGCCGGGAAGAAAUCGCACGGGCUAAUACCCUGUGUGGAUGACGGUACCGGAAUAAGAAGCACCGGCUAACUACGUGCCAGCAGCCGCAGUAACAC
rnacentral:rRNA from 1 species